CACGCACACACGCGCGGCAUAUCAAUAAGCGGAGGAAAAGAAACUAACAAGGAUUCCCUUAGUAACGGCGAGUGAAGCGGGAAGAGCUCAAAUUUGAAAUCUUCAAGGUUCUACCUUGACGAACUGUAGUUUAUAGAAGUGUUUUCUGUUAGUGGAGUGGCAAAAGUUCUUUGGAAUAGGACUUCAUAGAGGGUGAGAAUCCCAUAUUUGGUCAUUCCUCCUAGCGUUGUGAUACACUUUCAACGAGUCGGAUUGUUUGGGAAUGCAGUCCAAAAUGGGUGGUAAAUUUCAUCUAAAGCUAAAUAUUGGCGAGAGACCGAUAGCGAACAAGUACCGUGAGGGAAAGAUGAAAAGAACUUUGAAAAGAGAGUUAAACAGCACGUGAAAUUGUCAAAAGGGAAGCGUUUGACACCAGUGUUGUUUUUCCGAAAAUCAAUUACGAAUGUUUUAGUUUUUGAGAAGUUAUGACUUCAUCGGCUUGCUUCUCUCUUUAUGAAACUUUCUUAAUGCACUUUUCGGUUAACAAGUCAACAUCAAUUUCUUUUGUUGUAAAAGGGUAUGAGGAAGGUGGCUUUCUUUUCGGAGAAAGUGUUUAUAGCCUUGUACCUCUGCAAUCGGAGAGAUUGAGGUCUGCAGCGUAGAUCCUUCGGGGUUAGAUACAGUUUGUGCUAAGUUAUAGCUUUUCAUAGACAACUUGUUGACUAUGUUUAGUCUUGUAGCUUACUCGCUGAUGCUAUUUUACCUACGCUUAGGAUGUUGAUAGUCACAGCGUGUAC
rnacentral:rRNA from 1 species